rnacentral:rRNA from 1 species
GCUAACGCGGGGCCGUGAUGCGCGGUAAUACGGGGGGUUCAAGCGUUAUCCGUAGUUACGGGGUUUAAAGGGUUCGUAGGUUGGCGAGUAAGUCAGUGGUGAAAUCUCCGGGCUUAACCCGGAAACUGCCAUUGAUACUAUUUGUCUUGAAUACUGUGGAGGUAAGCGGAAUAUGUCAUGUAGCGGUGAAAUGCUUAGAUAUGACAUAGAACACCAAUUGCGCAGGCAGCUUACUACACAGUAAUUGACACUGAGGCACGAAAGCGUGGGGAUCAAACAGGAUUAGAUACCCCGGUAGUC